AUUGAACGCUGGCGGCAUGCCUUACACAUGCAAGUCGAACGGCAGCGGGGACUUCGGUCCGCCGGCGAGUGGCGAACGGGUGAGUAAUGUAUCGGAACGUACCAUUCAGUGGGGGAUAACUAUCCGAAAGGAUAGCUAAUACCGCAUAUUCUGUGAGCAGGAAAGCAGGGGAUCGCAAGACCUUGCGCUGAUUGAGCGGCCGAUAUCAGAUUAGCUAGUUGGUGAGGUAAAGGCUCACCAAGGCGACGAUCUGUAGCGGGUCUGAGAGGAUGAUCCGCCACACUGGAACUGAGACACGGUCCAGACUCCUACGGGAGGCAGCAGUGGGGAAUUUUGGACAAUGGGGGCAACCCUGAUCCAGCCAUGCCGCGUGAGUGAAGAAGGCCUCCGGGUUGUAAAGCUCUUUCGGCCGGGAAAAAAUCGCAUGGGUUAAUACCCUGUGUGGAUGAUGGUACCGGAAUAAGAAGCACCGGCUAACUACGUGCCAGCAGCCGCCGUAA
rnacentral:rRNA from 1 species